CUGCCACUGAAGAGUCCCAUAAUAGGAUGAAACGGUUGUCCAGUAC
rnacentral:hammerhead_ribozyme from 1 species